UAGGCAAAAACCUUAUGGGACAGUGUUAGG
rnacentral:piRNA from 1 species